AAUGAACGUUGGCGGCGUGGAUUAGGCAUGCAAGUCGUGCGUGUACCCCGCAAGGGGGAAAGCGGCGCAAGGGAGAGUAACGCGUGGUUAUCUACCCCCGGGACCGGGAUAGCUGUGGGAAACUGCAGGUAAUACCGGAUGACGUCUCCGGACCAAAUGGUGUGAUUCCGCCAGGGGCUGAGAUCGCGUCCUAUCAGCUAGUUGGCGAGGUAAUGGCUCACCAAGACUAAGACGGGUACGGGGUGUGAGAGCCUGCCCCCGCUCACUGGGACUGAGAUACUGCCCAGACGCCUACGGGUGGCUGCAGUCGAGAAUCUUCGGCAAUGGGCGCAAGCCUGACCGAGCGACGCCGCGUGUGGGAUGAAGGCUUUCGGGUUGUAAACCACUGUCGUAGGGGAGGAAAUGCAUCAGGGUACUCUCUGGUGUUUGACCUAUCCUAGGAGGAAGUACGGGCUAAGUUCGUGCCAGCAGCCGCCGUAA
rnacentral:rRNA from 1 species